rnacentral:misc_RNA from 1 species
GGAGAAGAAAAUCGUUUAUACCCCGAAGUGGAGACUGGAGAUGGCAGAUCGGAAAGACACCCAGAAGAAAAGAAUGGCUGUCUUUGCCAUGAGUUCUCCCUCUCCAGUCCUGCCUUCGUUUUGUGUUUCGUUACCUUCAUCAACUAAGGCUUUUGCUACUUUUCCAGUUUCCAGGUUGCACUUGAAAUCCAUCUAUGUGCUCUCGAAAUCCUUCGGUGGAAUUUCCUUUGCGACAGUGAGAAGUGGUACGAUGACUGUUAAGGCAUCAAUGGAUAUUAGGGGGACAGGUCCGGACGCUGGGGAGUCUGUGUCAGAAAGUGAUGAUGAAGAGAAUUUGCUGUUUGAGAAACUUCCUCUUGAUGCAAAGCUACAACAGAAGCUCGAGCAGAAGUUUAGGAUGAAAUUGGCAAAGAAGAUAAGGCUUCGGAGAAAGAAACUUGUUCGUAAGCGGAGGAUGAGGAAAAAGGGACAAUGGCCUCCUUCAAAGGCAAACAAGGUGAAGAAUGUCUGAUUUCGUGUCCUCUUGUAGUAACUAGUGAGAAAGAAAGCUGAGAGAGGAGGAAUCAGAGUUCUGAUUGCGCGAACCGCUGCUUGGAUCUCCAAUUUUUUAGCAAUCUGAGAGUUUGUUACUGCAAAAUGAAGAAUAGAGGAGUCUGUUUCAAUAAUGAAAAAGGAAGCAUUCAUGGAUCGUGCCAACUUUAAGGCUCAAGGCAUUGGCUUCGCCUGGAUUUUUCAUUAUUCGUAGACGUCUUUUCAAUUAAUAUAAAUGGGCGGAUGAAUCAGAUAC